rnacentral:rRNA from 1 species
UACAGAGGGUGCAAGCGUUGUUCGGAAUUAUUGGGCGUAAAGGGAGAGUAGGCGGUUUCCUAAGUCUUCUGUGAAAUCUACGGGCUUAGCCUGUAACGUGCAGAGGAAACUGGGAGACUUGAGUGUCGGAGAGGAUAGGGGAAUACCCGGUGUAGAGGUGAAAUUCGUAGAGAUCGGGUGGAACACCAGUGGCGAAGGCGCCUAUCUGGCUGACAACUGACGCUGAGACUCGAAAGCAUGGGGAGCAAACAGG